UACGUAGGGGGCUAGCGUUAUCCGGAAUUACUGGGCGUAAAGGGUGCGUAGGUGGUUUCUUAAGUCAGAGGUGAAAGGCUACGGCUCAACCGUAGUAAGCCUUUGAAACUGGGAAACUUGAGUGCAGGAGAGGAGAGUGGGAUUCCUAGUGUAGCGGUGAAAUGCGUAGAUAUUAGGAGGAACACCAGUUGCGAAGGCGGCUCUCUGGACUGUAACUGACACUGAGGCACGAAAGCGUGGGGAGCAAACAGGAUUAGAUACCCGUGUAGUCCCUGAGCGGG
rnacentral:rRNA from 1 species